UAUGCUGUGGGUAUGGCCCUAAAGAGAAAAAGAAAAAUGAAUGAAACUAAUUUUAGUAAUAGAUUUUACUUAACCCAACAUAUCUAAACAUUGUCAUUUCAAUAUGUAAUCAAUAUAAAGACUUUUGAGAUACAUUCCAUUUCACAAAGAAUUUUUUUUCAUACAGAGUCUUCAAAAUCUGGUCUAUAUUUUAUACUUACAGCACAUCCCUUUGUGGAGAAGGCCCAUCUCAAGUGCUCAACAGCUGCGUGUGGCCAGCGGCUCCAGAUUUGUCAGCGCAGAUUUAGAAGUUUGUAAGGGCCACACCCACUAGGAGUUGAAUCAGAGCUGCAGCAACCAGCCUACACCACAGCCACAGCAAUGCGGGAUCUGAGCCACAUCUGAGUCCCUGUCAGUGGAAAUGCAGUGUGUUCCAAGCUGAGGCUUUCAGAGAUGGCAAGUUCCCUACAUGCUCGCUCAUGUCCUUCUCAUUCAUCGUGACCCGAGCAUGAUGUAAGUCUCAGAAUAAGACUCCGUGGAGCAGACCUGAACCCCACCAACAGCCUGAAACCAAGCUCAGCCAAGCCCAGCAACGCAUCACAGAGACGUAGUUGACUCACACACCUAAAACACAUGGGAAUCCAGAUAAAGUAACACAGUAUCAUAUCUGGACUGGUUUCCUGGUUGCUGAGCAUAGCAUCAUAGACCAGAAAUGUAGAGAUGCCCUAAGAGAUCCUGUUCCCUGUGAGAGAAAGAGUAGCCUCCACAGAUGUCAGCUUAGUCAUUGCAUUUUAUGUAGUUCCUGCACCUGGAGAUUCCUGCAACCUCUUACUGGCUCUGACGUGAGUAAUUCUUUUAGUUAAGCGCUAUUAACCAAUGCCCUGCUUCCUGUGUAGAUACGUCCAGACAUGGCUCCCAAUCAUCCCUGACCCUUUUGAAAUACCUUUUCCUGGGCAUAGGCUAGAUCUUAGUGAUUUGCUUCUACUGUAUAGAAUACAGAGAAUUUGAUGGCAAAGGCCCACUGGGAAGCAUAGACAUUUAUGCUCACCAGGUGGAAGUAGAUGCCCAGCUUUCCUACUGGGGGUGAGGAGGUGCCAGAGAAAACUAGGUUGAGAACUGGGAUUUUGCUGCCCACCUGGUGGUAAUAGGGAGCUCCCACCAGUGUCAGUGGAGGCCAUGUGGGGAGCACCCUUUCCCAGCCUGGAUGGUGCCAGCAAAGGUCUAGUGGGAAGCGUUAACAGCUCCUCCUGCCAGCAGUAGUAAUAAAGUGCCCCUUCCCCCACCCCAGGCUGAACAGAGAACCUGCAGUUCCCCCACGUCCAGUAACAAGGUGCCCUCCCACCCCCCUGCCUGUACAGUGUCAGAGGGAGCCCGCUGUUACAGACUGAUUUCUCUCCCUUAAUUCACAUAUCGAAGCCGUAACCCCCUAGGCCGAAAGCUACGUUUCCUCUAUUUGUCUCUGAUUCUUGUGACUCAGUGACAGCUAGGGUAGAGAUAGGGAAGUGGCAGGGACAUACGGCCAAAGCCACAAAAGUCCUUUUUUUACAUAUCUGGCGCUGUUUGUAGUAUGCUCUCGGCUAUAGAAGGCUCUCUAGUGUAACUGGUAUCCAAAUUCUAGCCCUGUCUCUUGCAGCACAUGAACGGAUUUGGUAGAGAACCAACACCCAACCGCAUCCUAACAAGGACUCUGCGCUGCACAGCUUCCUGGCUGACUUCUCACUGGGUCCCUCAGCUCCUGCCCUGAGGUCUACAGCCCUGCAGGCCCCAUGCCCUGGGUCCCACCCUCUGGAUUUGAGAGCAGGGCUAUUUCACUGUAAAGUAUAGCCUCUUUCUCCUGCAGUGAGGAAGGCAGAGCGUGUCUCUGAGGUCCUCCGUUAAGCUCACUUCUCCCUUGCCUUGCCAGCAUGUGUGUUCCUCUGUCCCACUGGUCCGGAACUUCCUACUUGUUUUUCAAAACCCCAUUGUAAGGGCCUGGGUUCCUUAACCGUCUUCAUGUUCCAUGGCGAUGACUGAAGCUGGCAUAAUCCUCUUUACCUGCUCCUCCCUCAGGCAAUAAGCAGGUUGCUUGGACCCAGAAGAAUAGCUACUUUCUGUGGCCACACUGUGAGGGAAGGCUUCCAGGUGGCUGGGGAAAUUAGUUGCUGUGACAACAAGCUGGCGCGGGUGUAGUUUGCUGCACUUUGCAGCUCUUGUCUUCUGCUCCAGGGCACUCAGCUGCCUGGGGGAACCUGGAAAUCCAGUAAGUUCACACCUCAGGAGCAACAUCGGACAGAUGGUGGUUUGGAGCAGAGUGAGUGACUCUUUUCCUGGCCCCAAGGAGCAGCUGAAGAGGAUGCAGUGACCAGUGGAAGGACACGCAGCAUGUCCUGUAUUGUGAGAAAAGGAGCAGGAGCUGAAAAAGCGAGGCCAGUCUUACAACUCACUGGACUUCUGGCAAGAAUCCCUCCCCAGAACCAACCCUAAUUGCUGACCUGAGUUAUACACAUUCAAGAGAGAAGUAGAAGGUUUUCAUUACAAGUCAUCUAACUCUGCAGGAGUUUGGCUUUGAAAACCCCCUGAAAAGGACUCAUGUGAAUAAAGCGGGGCCAUUCUCAUUGAAGCACUUGUGACAACCCAAGGGGCUACCUGUCCUUCUCAGGAGCAGGAAUGGUGACGUGUGGGAAGGUAGAAGAAGGCUUCUUGAAGAACAGCAACAACCCAGCCUCCACCGAAAGCCGCUCUGAACAAAAGCAGGAACAUCGGAAGAUCUGCCUCUAUUGUUCUUGACACGGGUUGCAGAAUAAUGCCUGGCUACCAGGAACUUCCGGUCGCCAAGCCAGUCCUGAAGACCCACCCUCUGCCUUGACCUGGUGUCAUGAUCAAGCUUGGUGAGUGUCACCACCAUUCAUCUCAUCUUUCUGCCUUCUGGAAUCACUUCCCAACCUUUCCUCCUGCCUCUCUUGUCUGGGUAAGAUGUCCCUGAACCAUAUAUUCAGAGCACCUGUGCCCACCUCUAGCUCUGCACUUAAAAGAGGAAAUUAUAAUCAUCGGCUCCCUUGUUCUCUCUUUCUCCAACUAAAUCUGAGCUCUUUGAGGGAAAUGCCGUUUUGGGUCUUGAUUUUCAGAAGUAGUAGGUUUAACAUGUAGAAGGGACUCAGGGCUGCCGUGGAAUCGACGGCAUAGAUGUGUGGAGAGUGAGUGGGUGGAUCAGCAUAACUCAUCCUCUACAGCUCUCGACUUCCGCUUUUCUGAUAGCUCUCGACUUCUCAUGGACCCCUUUCAAGUUCUUUUUUUUUUUCUUUCUCUUUUCAGUGACUAAUAGAAUACCGCAUAUACUGUACAUGCCUUUCUACUUGGAAACAUCCUAGCUGAAUAUCGUAUUCACACACAUAACUGUAUCUGUGCAUCCUUCUAUUUUUAUGGAUCAGUGAUGUUCAGACCUGGAAAUGAGGAUCCACAGAGAGCUCCCUGAUGCCUGGACCCCUCCCCAGACCAAUUAAAUUAGAACCUCUGAAGGUGGAACCAGGUUAUCAGUAAUUUAAAAAAACAACACCCCCCCACAAAAACAACAAAAACCACCUCUCAGCAUGGUUGAUUGGAUGGUGCAGCCAGGUUUGAGAAUUGGUCCUAUAAACUGUUCUCACAGUCACGCUCAGUUGCUGUAGUGACUCUCAGCGUUCCAGCAAAGGAGAGGCCAGCUGAUAUUUCCAGAGUGGAAGUGGGUGCACAGUAGGAGCACAAUUUCCCAUCUUCCUCCACCUAAAACCCCUCGGGAGUGCUCCCCCAGUCCCAGGGCAGUCGCCUGGUGAUGAUUUAAGGCAUCUGCACCAGCACCCUUAGCCCACCUCCCUCCUGCCCCUGCUCCACACUGGCACCCAUCCUUAACUUGCCAUUUCUGCUUUCUGACCUGUCUCCUCUGGGAACUUGCUCUAUCGUGUGUCCUUCCUGCACAGUAAUCUCCUGCUCUCUUGGCUCCACCCUCCACAUAGUGGAAACAUUUUCAGAUCAACACUAAUCUCUAACAAAAAAUAUUCCCUAAAAUCUGACUUUUUACCUCUGAGCUUCAUAGAGAAGUUUACAGUCAUUUUAUCCAGUUCGAGCGUCAUGAAUGACCAAUGGUGGCCUGUCUUCCCCACCUACCCCUUUACCCAAGCAGUGGCCGCCAACAUUUUCCAUCGUGGCCAUGGCCAUGGACAUCCCCGCAGGCCCCGUUCUUCUCUGAUCACGCCACAAAAUAUUUGGUCUUUUGGUCCAUUUUAUGACACUGCAAUCUCUAGGUUCUUUUGCGAACUUCUUGCAAACAUCUCUCUCUAGGGCUUCUUUGCCUACCCUGGCACUAAAUAUUCAAAUGUCCCCCAUGAUUCUUCCCAAUAUUGUCUUCUCUUCAAUCUCUUUCCCUUCCCUCUCCCCCUCCCUUCCCCUCUCUCUUCAUCAGUCACUAUAGUAUUAUCUCUAAUUUCCAGUCAAAGAACUCUGAAGUAGGCGCUCUUGUCAUGGAUAAGCGGUUAACAAAGCUGACUAGCAUCCAUGAGGAUGUGGGUUUGAUCCCUGGCUUCGCUCAGUGGGCUAAGGAUCCAGCGUUGCCGUGAGCUGUGGUGUAGGUCACAGACGUGGCUCGGAUCCUGUGUUGCUGCGGCUCUGGCAUAGCCGGUGGCUAUAGCUCCAAUUGGACCCCUGGCCUGGGAACCUCCAUAUGCCCUGAGGGUGACUCUAAAAAGCCCCACCCAAAACAAAACAACAAAAAACAAAGAGCUCUGAAGUCAAUUAUCAUCAUUUCGGAUGUUCUUUCCAAACUAAGCAUUUUCCAAAUCUUAAUUCCAAAAUGUCACUUCCUUCAAGUAGCUUCCUGGAUCUCCCCAGGAUACACUUCCCUCCUCUGCAUCCCACAGCACAGUUCACGUUGCAGUUAUUUGUUUUAAUCCCCCAAUUACAGUGCAGCUGUAGCCCUUAAUCAAAGAUGCUCGCAAGAGUCUCCUGAAGAUCUUUGAAAAGAUAUAUAUUCCUUAGCCCCUUCCCCAAGGACUCUUGCUCUGUGUCUUGGGUAGCUGUAGAAUUUAAAGACUCCAGGGGUCCUUAAAACAAGCACCCCUGCUUGAAUAGCGUCAACCUCAGAGGCUGAGGCUCCUGAGGGCAGAGUCUUCCUCUUCCAAGGCCCAAAGCUCUGGCCCAGGGCCAAGCACAGAGGAGCAGCUUAAUAAAUGCUUGUGCCUGUUGGAUGAUGAUUUAAUCUUAAUGACGUUCUAUCCAUCAUCCUAGUUCCCAAUGUGGAUUACAUCUGGCUGGCUUGAGUUCAUUUUCCACGCUGCUGCUUCCAGAAUGCCUCCUUCAACUCACUCUUCCCUCCAGAUGCUUUGCUCCCCUUCAGAUCUUGCAAAGACCCCAUCCAGCAUGAAAACUCAACUGAAUUUCCCUUUCCCAGACCUGUUCUUUCCUUUUCCCUCCUUCUCCUGUAGACGUGCACUCUCUCACGUCUUUUCCUCUCUCUGACUCUCAAAUCUUUCUUCCAACUCUGCCACUUAAUCUUCCACAGCGCCUCUGUGACAUCUUACCUUUGACUACCGAACGCUGAUACUUCCCUUACCUCCUAGGGGUAGAAAGCAGAACACAAAAAAUGAAGAACUACUAGGAAAAAAAGAAGUUAUUUUUCACCAUCUCCAUUCGAUUCAAAUUAAAUCGAUAGACAUCAACUGAGUAUCUACCAUGUAGUGGGCAUUCUCUUAGGCCAGGGAAUCAAAUGCAAAUCAGACAUUAUUUCUGACCUCCAGCUACAGGAGCCUGGGGUCACAACCAAACAGAUGAUAUACAAACAGAUUCUUAAUUAAGUGCAAGAUGUGCAUAUUAGACAGUGGGAACAAGUACAGUGGGAGGAGGAAGAGAGAGCCCUCAACUCAACCUUCCUGGGGUAGGGACCCAGGAAGACCCUAGAGACCCACCAAGGUCUUAAAAGGUGAGCAAUCACUGUCAGACCAACCAUGGCAGGAAGAGUUUCCCAUGUGCAGAGAGCAGCUGGGAGCAAAGGCAGGAUGGAGGUGACAGCAACAACAAGCAUCCAUGACCCAAUCAGAAAAGGAAGGAGCCCAGGCUUGUUGAGGAAGGGAGCUCACGUUCGAGAGGCAGAGUGGGCAGAGACAAAGGCACAGAAGUGGGCAGGGCUGUAAGCUUUAGUGAGGAGGAGCCUUGAAAGGGUUUUAGCUGGGGGAUGACAUGAUUAAAUCUGCCACCCAACCGGCACAACCUUUAUUAUUAUUUUUUCUCUUAAUCUUUUUUAAUUUGGCAAACGUCUCUCCAUCAUCGUCGUCAUCUGGGCCUCCGCAAGAACGCUGUCCAUUCAUGUUUUCAUGUUCUCUUCACUCCCUGCCUCUCAGCGGGGGCCCUGGCCCCAGGUCUCUAGGAUCAUCCAAAAGUUGGGCCAGUUGCAAACAAAAGCAGUCCGCCCUCAUUACUACCCGGCAGUAUUACAUGGCAGUCCUGGGAAAUUCUUUUUUUUUUAAUAAUUAUUUUUAUUUUUUUCCAUUACAGCUGGUUUACAGUGUUCUUUCAGUGUCCUACUGUAACAGCAAGGUGACCCAGUCACACAUACAUAUACACAUU